UGGGGAAUUUUGGACAAUGGGCGAAAGCCUGAUCCAGCAAUGCCGCGUGUGUGAAGAAGGCCUUCGGGUUGUAAAGCACUUUUGUCCGGAAAGAAAUCCUUGGCUCUAAUACAGUCGGGGGAUGACGGUACCGGAAGAAUAAGCACCGGCUAACUACGUGCCAGCAGCCGCGGUAAUACGUAGGGUGCAAGCGUUAAUCGGAAUUACUGGGCGUAAAGCGUGCGCAGGCGGUUUGCUAAGACCGAUGUGAAAUCCCCGGGCUCAACCUGGGAACUGCAUUGGUGACUGGCAGGCUAGAGUAUGGCAGAGGGGGGUAGAAUUCCACGUGUAGCAGUGAAAUGCGUAGAGAUGUGGAGGAAUACCGAUGGCGAAGGCAGCCCCCUGGGCCAAUACUGACGCUCAUGCACGAAAGCGUGGGGAGCAAACAGGAUUAGAUACCCUGGUAGUCCACGCCCUAAACGAUGUCAACUAGUUGUGGGGAUUCAUUUCCUAGUAACGUAGCUAACGCGUGAAGUUGACCGCCUGGGGAGUACGGUCGCAAGAUUAAAACUUAAAGGAAUUGACGGGGUCAUAGCUGUUUCCU
rnacentral:rRNA from 1 species